rnacentral:rRNA from 1 species
GAUGAACGCUGACAGAAUGCUUAACACAUGCAAGUCAACUUGAACUUCGGUUUGGGUGGCGGUCGGGUGAGUAACGCGUACAGAACUUGCCUCACAGAUAGGGACAACAUUUGGAAACGCAGGCUAAUCCCUGAUAUGAUGAUUAUACGGCAUCGUAUAAUUAUGAGAGCUAUAUGCGCUGUGAGAGAGCUUUGCGUCCCAUUAGCUAGUUGGAGAGGUCACGGCUCACCAAGGCGAUGAUGGGUAGCCGGCCUGAGAGGGUGAUCGGCCACAAGGGGAGUGAGACACGGCCAUUAGUCCUACGGGAGGCAGAAGUGGGGAAUAUUGGACAAUGGAACAAGAGUCUGAUCAAGGAAUUCUGUGUGCACGAUGAAGUUUUUGGGAAUGAAAAGGGCUUUCAGUUGGGAAGAAAAAAAUGACGGUACCAACAGAAGAAGUGACGGCUAAAUACGUG